rnacentral:rRNA from 1 species
AGCAGCCGCGGUAAUUCCAGCUCCAAUAGCGUAUAUUAAAGUUGUUGCAGUUAAAAAGCUCGUAGUUGAAUUUCGGGAUCAGUAGGUUGGUCGUGCCACUGGUAUGUACUGGCCUUACUGGUUCCUCCUUCUUGUAGAACUGCAAUGUCAUUAAUUUGGUGUUGCAGGGAAACAGGACUGUUACUUUGAAAAAAUUAGAGUGUUUAAAGCAGGCUAACGCUUGAAUACAUUAGCAUGGAAUAAUGAAAUAGGACGUUCGAUCCUAUUUUGUUGGUUUCUAGGAUUGACGUAAUGAUUAAUAGGGAUAGUUGGGGGCAUUAGUAUUCAAUUGUCAGAGGUGAAAUUCUUGGAUUUAUUGAAGACUAACUACUGCGAAAGCAUUUGCCAAGGAUGUUUUCAUUAAUCAAGAACGAAAGUUAGGGGAUCGAAGACGAUCAGAUACCGUCGUAGUCUUAACCAUAAACUAUGCCGACUAGGGAUCGGAUGAUGUUAAUUUUUAAUGA